UAAGGAGUUCAAUGUGACGUCACAAAGCAAACAGCUGUCUUGGUAGCUGUCUCCUGUCUGUGAGAAUGCUCCUGCAUAGGAAACAUCCUUGAUGCUGCAACUUUGGUUUUUCCUAAUCUAUCGCGAAUUAAAGCACCAGACACUUUCCCAACUGUCCCUCUGGUGCAGUUAAAAAAGCACCUGUAAACAGGAGCGUGUCACAAUUCCAACUUCACGCAAUUCUUGUUUGUGGUUUUGACAGCCCUUUUCUAAAAUAUCACAGGGAAAUUUAUAAAAGAGAUCAGGCGCAUGACUUUGGAGGGGAAAAAAAGAAAGGUAAAAAAACUACUAUCAAAUAUCACAUGACCUUAUUUCAUUGUGGCAAAACAGUGGCCACUGUGCUCCAAACACCUGGGAAGAAGCACACACAAGAUGCUCCACUCUCCAGCUCUUGACGUAAAGUGUACUUUCACACCUGCCACUCAAAAAGGUCUGUGGCAUUACAGAUGACUCUACAGUGAUUGAAUAUGCAACCAAGAUUGCAAAUUAAUGAGCAAGAGCAUAAGCAUACCUGAAGGAGGUGAAGCUACAGAAGCAGG